rnacentral:rRNA from 1 species
UACGAAGGGGGCUAGCGUUGCUCGGAAUCACUGGGCGUAAAGGGUGCGUAGGCGGGUCUUUAAGUCAGGGGUGAAAUCCUGGAGCUCAACUCCAGAACUGCCUUCGAUACUGAGAGUCUCGAGUCCGGGAGAGGUGAGUGGAACUGCGAGUGUAGAGGUGAAAUUCGUAGAUAUUCGCAAGAACACCAGUGGCGAAGGCGGCUACCUGGAUUGACACUGACACUGAGGCGCGAGAGCGUGGGGAGCAAACAGG